AACCUGCCCUAGAGUGGGGGACAACAGUUGGAACCUUUUGCUAAUACCGCAUAAGCCCACGGUGCCGCAUGACACUGAGGGAAAAGGAUUUAUUCGCUUUAGGAUGGACUCGCGUCCAAUUAGCUAGUUGGUGAGGUAACGGCCCACCAAGGCGACGAUUGGUAGCCGGACUGAGAGGUUGAACGGCCACAUUGGGACUGAGACACGGCCCAGACUCCUACGGGAGGCAGCAGUGGGGGAUAUUGCACAAUGGGGGAAACCCUGAUGCAGCGACGCCGCGUGGAGGAAGAAGGUUUUCGGAUUGUAAACUCCUGUCGUUAGGGACGAUAAUGACGGUACCUAACAAGAAAGCACCGGCUAACUACGUGCCAGCAGCCGCGGUAAAACGUAGGGUGCAAGCGUUGUCCGGAAUUACUGGGUGUAAAGGGAGCGCAGGCGGGAAGACAAGUUGGAAGUGAAAACCAUGGGCUCAACCCAUGAAUUGCUUUCAAAACUGUUUUUCUUGAGUAGUGCAGAGGUAGAUGGAAUUCCCGGUGUAGCGGUGGAAUGCGUAGAUAUCGGGAGGAACACCAGUGGCGAAGGCGGUCUACUGGGCACCUACUGACGCUGAGGCUCGAAAGCAUGGGUAGCAAACAGGAUUAGAUACCCUGGUAGUCCAUGCCGUANACGAUGAUUACUAGGUGUUGGGGGAUUGACCCCCUCAGUGCCGCAGUUAACACAAUAAGUAAUCCACCUGGGGAGUACGACCGCAAG
rnacentral:rRNA from 1 species